ensembl:snoRNA U3 Small nucleolar RNA U3
AAGACUAUACUUUCAGAAAUCGUUUUUAUAGUUUCUGACUUGAGAAAUGUGUUUCUAAAGUGUAUGGUCUUACCAAUCAUGAUAAGACCAUGAUUUGAGCAUAAAACUGACAGAACAAUGUUUUUUUCAUAUGGUCUCUGUUGUUGAUUGUUCAUUGCUUUCUUGCAGAGCAAUGACGACCAGAAUACGACCAGAGG